rnacentral:lncRNA from 1 species
AUAUUUAUGUGGGCUUCCACGGGUUUUGGAUUAGGAGGUGAAAAGGAGCUCCCAGUCUCAUUAUCCAGUGAGAACUAGUGGAGUUUGUUUCAAAAGGUGAAGCAGAUAUUGAUCUGCUCUGUGAAACUCUAUUACAUGGUCUUCUAAACACUUGGACUAAGCCCUGGAAUUGUUGUACAAGGUUCUAGCUUAAUAUGCAAGUCACGUUGGCUGACCAAGUGUGAACCUAAGAAUCCCCUGAAAUUUUAUAGCCUACAAAUUCUGACUAACCUCCUUAACCUGAUUUCACGUGUAGCUACUCAAUAAAUACUGUGGUGGUGUGUGUUUGUUCAGCAACAGAUUCUACUAGGUGUUAAUGUGAAAGGUUCAUGUGUGUUAACCCAGAGAAAACAUAAUUUCAGAAUCUGAAUUUCAGAGUCUGAAGUGACUCCAGUAUAAACACCUUGCCCCUUGAUGCAAGGUUUCUCCACAGUGUACAUGAGAACAUGAUUUUGCUGGCCUGAAAGCGAGAAGUGGAAGCUAGGCUGGUCCUGGUGUUCUUUUGGCAUAGGAAGGAGGAAGAAAUGGCAGAGCUGCCUAGAGAACAAGGGGAAAAUUGGAGAACUCUGGCUUUGCUGCUUCUGCUGCCCUGGGAAAGACAAAAGGGGGUAAGGAUGCUGGCUCAGCAGCUAGGUGUGCUGGCUUGAAAGCUGCUGGGUGUAGGUGCCCUAGGACACAGCCCAGCCCUCACCCCAGCCUCUGCAGGGGCAGCAGCAGCUGCAGACCUGUUUUUCCAAGAUUUGCUGCAAAUACAAAUGAUGUUUGCACCACGGCUAUUGCUGAUUCCUCAUCUGCUGUCUGAGCAGGCACCGACUUUGCCUGUGCCUAACGUUCACUCUGUUCUUCCAGUACUAUUUCCUUUUUUGUUUUGUUUUACUUUAAAAGACAUAUUCAACACUCAUUUAUAUCCUUGCAAAAUCAGUUGCAAAGACACAUGGCUUUUUAAAGGUUUUAAAAAUGCAUUCUUCUCCUAUGCUAACUUUGUAGUUACACUGCUGGGUGUAGGAAAAAGAAUAAUAAUAAUAAAAAAAAAUCAGUCUGGUUCAGAGAUCUUAAAGAGGGCUUUAGAUCAAGAAAAGCUGUGAAGAUCAUGUUGAAUAUCGGCAGGAAGUGUUCUCAAAACGAGUACAUUAAGAAGAAUCAGCAUGAAUUUAAUCCACAAUAAUGAGGGCAGUAGCAUUAUACACAUAAUUAAGUAGUGGCAUUGUUAAAACUUCUUAACACUUUGCUCAGAUUGUGUUGAAUAAUGAUGUACUUACACUGAAUAAUGUUUAUUUUGAUUCGUUAGCCAUUUCCUUAUUAUACAGGAUAUAAAGUGUGGAAGGUAAACAUCUAUAAAGUGUG